rnacentral:tRNA from 1 species
GCCUCUGUGGCGGAACUGGUAGACGCUGUGGAUUCAAAAUCCACCGAUCGCAAGAUCAUGGGAGUUCGAGUCUCCCCGGAGGCACCA